rnacentral:rRNA from 1 species
UGGGGAAUCUUGCACAAUGGGGGAAACCCUGAUGCAGCGACGCCGCGUGAGUGAUGAAGCCCUUCGGGGUGUAAAGCUCUUUCGACAGGGACGAUAAUGACGGUACCUGGAGAAGAAGCUGCGGCUAACUACGUGCCAGCAGCCGCGGUAAUACGUAGGCAGCAAACGUUGUUCGGAGUUACUGGGCGUAAAGAGUGCGUAGGCGGUUCGCCAAGUUUGGUGUGAAAUCUCCCGGCUUAACUGGGAGGGU